UACGAAGGGGACUAGCGUUGUUCGGAAUCACUGGGCGUAAAGCGCACGUAGGCGGAUUUGUAAGUCAGGGGUGAAAGCCCGGGGCUCAACCCCGGGAGGCGGGCGGAUACUGUCGGGCUAGAGUCCGGAAGAGGCGAGUGGAAUUCCUGGUGUAGCGGUGAAAUGCGCAGAUAUCAGGAGGAACACCAAUGGCGAAGGCAGCUCGCUGGGACGGUACUGACGCUGAGACGCGAAAGCGUGGGGAGCAAACAGG
rnacentral:rRNA from 1 species